AUUGAACGCUGGCGGCAUGCUUUACACAUGCAAGUCGAACGGUAACAGGUUAAGCUGACGAGUGGCGAACGGGUGAGUAAUGCAUCGGAACGUGCCCGAUCGUGGGGGAUAACGCAGCGAAAGCUGCGCUAAUACCGCAUACGAUCUGAGGAUGAAAGCGGGGGACCGUAAGGCCUCGCGCGAUCGGAGCGGCCGAUGUCAGAUUAGGUAGUUGGUGGGGUAAAGGCCCACCAAGCCGACGAUCUGUAGCUGGUCUGAGAGGACGACCAGCCACACUGGGACUGAGACACGGCCCAGACUCCUACGGUAGGUAGCAGUGGGGAAUUUUGGACAAUGGGCGAAAGCCUGAACCAGCAAUGCCGCGUGCAGGAAGAAGGCCUUCGGGUUGUAAACUGCUUUUGUACGGAGCGAAAAGGUCCUUUCUAAUACAAGGGGCUCAUGACGGUACCGUAAGAAUAAGCACCGGCUAACUACGUGCCAGCAGCCGCCGUAA
rnacentral:rRNA from 1 species